ACACAUUGCUUCAUGAAUUUUCAUACAGGUGCAUGCUUUCCUGACAAGUUAGAUCUAUUUCUUUUGUAAAAGUUUAUCUUUCCACUGCCAUCUUCCAGUUGGCAAUCAUCUCCUUCUUCCCAUCAAGUCACAUUGAUUUCUGUUUUCCUUGGCUGCCACUGUAAAUUUGCUGCAAGGAAAGGAUUAACAGUUCCUGGAGACUAUCUGUGCUGCACCGGGUAUAACCACAGAGUUAGAAAGGACUGCUACCGGCACCCCUCAAAGGAAACUUGGCAAAAGAAAUCCACUUCCCAUCACCUUGCCACAGCUGCAAAUGCCAUUGUCAGGAAUUUCAACUGCUUUUGAACUUAUAGAUUGUUUCAGAUUAUUCACAGUAAGUGGCCUGUUUCUCCUGGAGUUUCUUUGAAUUGAGAAGCCCCCCAGGGAUGCCAGAGGAGAAGGGAAAGGAAACAAACCUGACUCACCACCGUCUAGUUAGGUUACAGUUUAAAGUGAGUAACGAAGCUGUGUGACCAGCAGCGUGACCUUCAGCUGCCUAACUUGGAACAAUAAAAUGAAACAACUUCUGGAGAUGCUAUAUGGCUUUAAUUCCAUAGAUCCAUGGUUUGCUAAAUCUCAACAUUCAAAUAUAUUAAUGUUAACCUCUCUGAUUGAUACUGUUUUUUGGGGUGGUGAUUAUUUUUAUAUAUGUCUAUACAAAUCUGGUGUUAUUGUCUGUAUAACUUUUAUUAAUUCAUGCUAUUUUCACUCUGACAUGGUCUCACUAUUUUAAAAGGGAAAGUGCUGAAGAGUUUAGAAUAAUGUUUUUUUCCCCUUGGCUCACAAUAAAACCAAUGUGAAAGAAGGGAUACAAUCUUGCCCUAAAUAAUUAUAUUGGCUAAGGUCCAGUUAGGUGAAGAAUAUUAGUUCCUAAUCAUUCAAAUGGCAAGAAUUUCUUCUUCACUCAGCUGCACAGGCUGGAGUUCAGUUUCCUUGGAAGGGAAUUUGUAUUAGUAUCAUGUUUUAGGAGCAUCCAUUAUUUUCAGAUAGAAUUACCUGAAUGUAAAUAAUUCCAAUGGAGAGACAGAAAAAUAGCAAUGUAUGAAUACUGAAGUUUAGGAAUAGUCAAUCUCCAUUUUCUCUGGAUUCGGUAACAAUCUAUGCUUAUGAUCAGUAUACCUCAAGGGAGAUUAGUAAUAUUUAUUGAACUUUCAAAGUGCUUGGGAGUGAUGGUCAGAGGAGAAGCUGAGAACAUGAUUCCUGCAUUCGAGUGUCUUUCUUAAAAAAAUAUAAGAUCUGUUGAGGUUGCUCCACGUAUUUUCAUUCGAUAUGAUAGUGUCCUAGAAAGCUAUAUGUAAAUUUAUGGUUCUGCAGAUUAAAUCUGGUUUUCUUAUUUUGUUUCAACAAAAUCUUCUUACCUGCUUUACAUUUUUAUUUGUCGGUCCAAGCAGAUUCAUUAAGGUUUGAGAAUCCAGUGAUAGAAAAUUGUUGCAAAGUACAUGAAACAAGUACUUCAUCACAGUUCUCCCAGUUCUGAGAGGUAUGGUGGGCUUAAAAAGAAAUACAGACCUGUUCUCAGUUUGCUUCAGAAAACAAUCUUGCACUAAGUAAACCACCCAUUUCACAUUUCUCAAAUCCAGUGUUUGCUCAGUUUGUUUUGUUGACACUAGGCAUAAUCCUCUCCAUGGGUAAGCUGUUGAGAAGUCCCUCUAGGUGAGCGAGCUGCUCCCUGCCAUCUUCUAAGUGAUUGCUUCUUCUCUUACUGCAGCUCACUGUGGCUGUGAUCAUGGCUCUCACCUCACCAAGAGAAACUGCCUGAGCUGUAGCAACCAAAGUUGGGACAGGAGUACAGUUAGUACCACUUUCCCCAAAAGAUGGGACACCCACUAUGGAUUCAUGAACUCCUCCUUAUGUCAGAACGCAGAUUAUAAAACUGAAUAUCUUGUAAGGGCACCACGCUGUGUGCUAGGAUGUAGAUUCCUUCUCACUGACUCAGGGAGGACAUUCUCUCUCUUUUUACUUAUGAUAAGAAAGGUAUGCCUGGCCUAUAUUGCAAAACUUCCAUGCCUGUAUAAAGGGCAUUCCCACUUUUUUCAGUUUAGUCUUCCACUGAGGGACAAAAGAUUCUGAACAAGAUCAAGGGGAUAAGGCUGCACGGAAUUCUCAAAGCUUCAGCUUUCACAAGUAGCACCUAAGGUUGCUGAAUUCUAUGUUAGUUUUAUUUUUAAUUUUUAAGGAACCUCUGUAUUGUUUUCCAUAAUAAUUGUAUCAAUAUAAAAUCUUACCAAGAGUGUACAAGGGUUCCCUUUUCUCUACAUCCUAGUCCAUACUUGUUGUCUUUUGUCUUUUUGAGAAUAGCCAUUUUAACAGAUGACAUAAAAUCUCAUUAUGGUUUUGAUUUGCAGUUUCCUGACGAUUAGUGAUGUGAAGAAUUUUUAUCAUAUACAGGGCCUCCUCGACUUAUAAUGGAAUUCUCUUCCGAUAAAUUCGUCGUAAGUUGAAAAUAUUGUGACUUGAAAAUGCUUUUAAUACAUGUAAUCUGCCAGACAUCAUAGCUUAGCUUCGUCUACCUUAAAUGUGAUCAGAACACUGACGUUAGCCUUCAGUUGGGCAAAAUUAUUUAACACAAAGCUUAUUUUAUAAUAAAGUUAUUAUAAAGAAUUUCACAUCAAAAUUCAAAAUUCUAAGUACAGUCUCUACUGAA